rnacentral:lncRNA from 1 species
AUGAUGAUGGGCUGUGGCUGCAGUCUGGCUCCACUGGUCUGGUGUAGAACAGGAUCUCUGGAGGCUGUUUGUAACUGUGGUCACAAAAUUCAAUGUUCUGGGAGAACGGGAAGCAGCUCAAUUUUGUGGGGCCUCUUACAUAGCUCAAGGUCUGGGCCCCAGGGCCUGACGGUGAGUAUGCCCAUAAAGCCCACCCAUAAGUUCACCUACAUGAGUCCGCUCACAGGGAGUAGAGUGUGUAGGGGAUGUGUUAGGUGUUACUGUAGAGGAUCUAAUGUGUGUCCUUAUGGAAUGUAGUGUAUAGGGAUACCAGUUUGUGUAGGUGAUGCAGUGUGUUUGUGUGUAAGGGAUAGAAAGCAGUGAGUGUUUGUGUAUACGGGAUGUAUUGUGUGUUUGUCUGUAAGGGGUGCGUUGAGUGUGUGUAAGAGAUGCAUUGUGUUUCUGUGUGUGUGUAAGAGAAGCAGUGUGUGUUUGCAUAUGUGUGUAAGGGAUGCAUUGUGUGUUUCUGUGUAUGUG